rnacentral:rRNA from 1 species
UACGUAGGGUGCAAGCGUUGUCCGGAAUUAUUGGGCGUAAAGAGCUCGUAGGCGGUUUGUCACGUCGGAUGUGAAAACCCGGGGCUUAACCCCGGGCCUGCAUUCGAUACGGGCUGACUAGAGUUCGGCAGGGGAGACUGGAAUUCCUGGUGUAGCGGUGAAAUGCGCAGAUAUCAGGAGGAACACCGGUGGCGAAGGCGGGUCUCUGGGCCGAUACUGACGCUGAGACGCGAAAGCGUGGGGAGCGAACAGG